AGAGAUAAUGUACAACUGAAAUUUCACAAUGACAUAAACUAUUAUGAACUCAAUUUAAAAAAAAAAGGAAAGUGAGGAAGAGUGUGGCAUUUCAUUAUUCUUUGUGUAAAAACAAGGUGAUGGGUAGCCUGCCUGGUGGUGCAGCAGUUAAGUUUGCAUGCUCCGAUUGGGCAACUUAGGGUUUGCUGGUUCAGAUCCUGGGCACGGACCUAUGCACGGCUUAGCAAGCCAUCCUGUGGCGGUGUCCCAUAUACAAAAUGUAGGAAGACUGGCAUGGAUGUUAGCUCAGGGCCAAUCUUCCUCAGCAAAAAAAGAGGAGGAUCAGUGGUGGAUGUUAGUUCAGGGCUAAUUUUCCUCAAAACCAAAAAAUAGGGUGAUUGGGAAGGAAUACAAUUAAAUAUACACAUAUGUGUUUAGAUAUGCGUAGAAAGGUCCUUCAGGAAGGAAGUCACAAGAAACAGGUAACAGUGGGUCCUGUAGGAGGAAAAAUGGGCAAAUGGAGAACAAGGUGGGCAGAAAUCUUUCCACUGAAUAUCCUUCGAAUCGUUUAAAUACUGUACCAUGUAAAUGUGUUAUCUAUUAAAGGUUAAAAACUAAAAUUAAUUAUAAAGACUAUGAGGCAACAUGGGAAAAUGCUUAUAUGUGGGAAAAAAGAUUAAAAACUAUGCAGUAGGAUUAUAACUAUGUAAAAUAAAUGCAUGUUAAAAUUUCUAACUGUGGAAGGAAUAUUCUAGAUAACUUUUACUCCUUUUUUGUAAUUUUUUCCAGAAAUUUCUAUAAUAGACAUAUAUUGCUUUUAUUACUAGAAAAAAAUCAGUGACAUACAAAAAUACUAGGGGAAUUGUAUACUCUGUUAAAUCUCAAUUAUGCGGGCUGGCCCUGUGGCCGAGUGGUUAAGUUCUCGUGCUCCACUGUGGCGCCCGGGGUGUUGCUGGUUCAGAUCCUGGGUGCGGACAUGGUACCACUCAUCAGGCCACGCUGAGGCGGCGUCCCACAUGCCACAACUAGAAGGACUCACAACUGAAAUAUACAACUUUGUACUGGGGGGAUCUGGGGAGAAAAAGCAGAAAAAAAUGAUUGGCAACUGUUGUUAGCUCAGGUGCCAAUCUUUAAAAAAAAAAAAAUCUCAAUUAUAAAAACAAGGUAAUGAAAAAGAUUGGAAGGAAAUACACAAAAUGUUCGCAAUAGUUGUCUCUGGGUAUAAGAUAUUAGGUAACUUUUAUUUUAUUUAAAAACAUUUUUAUUAUUAUUUUUUGGCAAGGAAGAUUGUCCCUGAGCUAACAUCUGUUGCCAACCUUCCUCCUUUUUUUGCUCCCCAAAGCACCACGCAUGGUUGUAAGUCAUUCUAGUUCUUCUAUGUGGGAUGCCACCACAGCAUGGCUUGACGAGCAGUGUGUACGUCCACAUCCAGGAUCUGAACCGGCGAACCCUGGGCUGCUGAAGCCAAGCGUGCGAACUUAACCACUCAGCCAUGGGGCCAGCCACAGCAGGAAUGAAGGCCUCACUGCUGCAGCAUGGGACUCCACUCCCCAAAGUCCUGCCGCUUGGUGCCAGAGAGCUGGAGCUGCCUCACUGCUUGUUAUGCAUUCCCAGUAAAAAGGCCCAAGGGGUGGCUCUGGAUGGUGGGAGACUGCUGCUGGGGACAUGUUGCUGGGGAGAGCGAGCACAACAUCAGAGCACCCUUGGGCCCUUACCAUGUCUUGGUCGGCAAACAUUUACGGAGCCGGACUGCUGGGUUUGGUGCUGAGAGAAUGUAGGGUAACCAGCCCUCCCUGGGCUCCAGCCUCCUGCGGCAUUCUAAGGUGAGGGUGCUUCAAGCAGAGACGGAAGGGGAGUCCUCAAGGAGGUCUGAGCAGAGGCCUGGCAAGACCAGGCCUGUAGGCAGAGACCGACCUCACCAAUGGACAAAAUUAGGCCUGUCUAGAAUCUGGCCUGCCCAAGGGUUGAACCCUCGCUGGUCCUCACCUGCCUUGCCACGGUGAGCACAGGUCUUCAGUGGAAGAACACUGCCAGGGAUGACAAAGCAAACUCCCAACAAAGGUUUUGGUCAUCAAACUCAAGACACCUGGGUUCUGAUUCUAGGUCUGCCAUUAACCAGCUUUGGGACCUUGAACAAGUGAGUGCACCUUUAUGAGCCUCAGUCUCAUCUAUAAAAUGGGGAGAAUCAUCAUAAUAACGAAUAGUGCCUGCCCUGACUACCUCCAAGAAUUUUUGUGAGGAUCAGGUGACAUAACGUACAUGAAAGCACUUUAAAAAUAUAAAGGAUGUCAGCUGAUGAAUAGAUAAACAAAAUGUGGCACAUCAAUAUGAUGGAAUAUUAUUCAGUCUUAAAAAGGAAUGAAGUACUGACACAUGACAACGUGGCUGAAUCUUGAAAACAUUAUGCUAAAUGCAAGAAGCCAGACACAGAAGGCCACAUAGUGUAUGAUUCCAUUUAUAUGAAAUAUCCAGAAUAGGCAAAUCUACAGAGACAAAAAGCAGAUUGAUGGUUGCCAGUCGCUGGGAGGAGGGAGAAAUGGGGAGUGAGCACUUAGUGGGCACAGGGUUUCCUUUUGAGGUCAUGGAAACGUUCAGGAACUCAACUACGGUGAUGGUUGCCCAACACUGGGAAUGCACUAAAUGCCACUGCAGUGUCU
rnacentral:lncRNA from 1 species